rnacentral:misc_RNA from 1 species
CUUUGAUUUUUAAUAAAACUUUUUAAUUUCAAAAAAAAAAAAAAAACACCAUUCGUCAGUCAUAGAGCGCUCUCCUCAAAUCGAUACGCAUAAGAUAAGCCAACCAUCUCUCUCUAACAGCCAAAGAUGAAAGCCAUAGUGAUCACCACACCCGGUAGCCCAGAGGUGCUGCAACUACAAGAAGUAGAAGACCCACAAAUCAAAGAUGAUGAGGUCUUGAUCAAGGUCGAGGCCACCGCUCUUAACCGGGCUGAUAUUAUCCAAAGGCAGGGCAAGUACCCACCUCCCAGAGGCGCCAGUCCCUACCCGGGUCUUGAAUGUUCCGGUACCAUCGAAGCCACUGGGAAAUUCGUUUCUCGCUGGAAAGUGGGGGAUCAUGUGUGUGCUCUUCUUAGUGGAGGAGGCUACGCUGAGAAAGUGGCAGUUCCAGCAGGACACGUUCUUCCCAUCCCUUCUGGCAUUUCAGUCAAGGAAGCUGCUGCUUUUCCAGAGGUGGUGUGUACUGUUUGGUCGAGUGUUUUUAUGACCAGUCGGCUUUCUGCCGGAGAAACGUUUCUGGUUCAUGGGGGCUCUAGUGGAAUAGGUACAUUUGCAAUUCAGAUAGCUAAGGUCCGAGGGGUCAAGGUCUUUGUCACUGCAGGGAGUGAGGAGAAAUUGGCUGUAUGCAAGGAACUUGGAGCUGAUGUGUGCAUCAACUACAAAACAGAGGAUUUCGUUGCUCGAGUCAAGGAAGAAACCGGCGGAAAAGGUGUUGAUGUUAUUCUGGAUUGUAUGGGAGCAGCCUACUUUCAGCGGAACCUCGAUAGCUUAAAUUUUGAUGGGCGGCUUCAUAUCAUAGGCUUGAUGGGUGGAGCUGUGACAGAAUUUAAUCUGGGUUCUUUGUUUGCAAAGCGCCUCACAGUGCAAGCGACUGGCUU